CAUCCACGGAUUGAGGUUUAUCGAGUGUAUGUACAUUGUGUAGGGAUGCUAAACAUUUCAUCAUAGUAUUAGCAGAACAAUAACAGGGUGAAGCAUCUUGUUGAAGAUUCCCUUGGCAGCUGGCGACCAUCCAAAGUGUACCACUAACGGUGUCUCUCAUCUCUCUUUACUAUUUCCAUCACUCGAUGUAUUUCUUGUGCAUCGUGAUGGACAGUAAUCAGAGUCUUUUGUCCAUUUUCUCGGACUUGUGUCAUCAGCUGCUUCAGGUCCUCAUGUACCAGCAAUUUCUUCACCAAGGUGAGGUUCAUUCCAAUAGGAGUAGGCAGCAGUUAAUUAGAUGCAAUAAGUUGAUAAGAAGUGACAGGAGCUGAGUAUUUAAAAUCACAUCCUAGAAUUUUGGUAAAAUUGCAAACACAAACAUUAGAGUGACUAUAGAAUCACAAUGAGUUCUCAUACAAACACAACCUUUCCCAAUAUAUACAAGUACAGUUUUAAGCGUUUCAUUAGGAUGUAUCUCAAAGUGGCAAAUGUUUUGCUCAGUGUCAAGACAAAUGUCUUGAGAUUCCAGUGUGUUACUUUCACAGAUGAAACCUUUUUGUUCACGCACAAUGCAUGCAUUUACAUCAAUUGUUUGCCACUGUCCUCCCUUUUGAUGGGCCCAUACUUUAUGCUCUUUAGGAUAAAGUAUAGUUCCAUUGUGAUUGAGUAAGUAUAAAGGCAACAAUUUUAUCAUUUUCUGCAUAAUGGGUAAAGUUGACCAAUUGCCACCAAGCUUGAAAUUCUUUUUCAAAUUCUGAAGCAUUAUCCCAAAUCAAUUUUCGAAUUUCAGUGGGCAAAGUUUUUUCUUCUCCCUUUCUAAUAAUAGCUGCUGCUACAGAUUGUAUCCAUAACUGCGCUUGGAUACAGCUCAAGGCAAGGGAGGUAUUGCCUUGGGCUUUUCCAAGGGAAUUUAUAAUUAAUUGAUGAUCAUUUUCCUCAAGCCAAUAAGGAUGAUUUUAUUGGUUGUUCCAAUUUCCUUAGGUCAUCUGUAGUAGCAGUUAUUCUACUCAUUAAGACCUCAGCAGGAGGUCUUAAUGACCAGGAGCUGACCAGGAGCUGGUGGUUAAAAAUACUGCAGGUCUCCAAAAGCCUCCUACUUCUUCCUCACUCAACAUCAUUCGAUCUCCUUCUUUAAGAGAAACUCAACACACAUACUCAACUUCUGAUUCCCCUGACCGCCUUGAGAACUUCUCCUGUAUUUUAACCAACUCUGCCGGUGGCAACGGAAUCGUUCGCACAGUAGUGCAGAUUUCAUCAUUAUCAUCAACAGUAGUC
rnacentral:lncRNA from 1 species